rnacentral:rRNA from 1 species
AGGACGAACGCUGGCGGCGUGCUUAACACAUGCAAGUCGAGCGGAAAGGCCCUUCGGGGUACUCGAGCGGCGAACGGGUGAGUAACACGUGAGCAACCUGCCCUUAGCUUCGGGAUAGCUCCGGGAAACCGGAAUUAAAUACCGAAUAUGACUUUGGCUGACAUCAGCAGAAGUGGAAAGUUUUUCGGCUAGGGAUGGACUCGCGGCCUAUCAGCUAGUUGGUGAGGUAACGGCCCACAAGGCGACGACGGGUA